AGAAAUACAAUUCAUUCAACAAAGAAAUAGGAGAGAAAGGUGGAAAAGUCAGAAAGGGGAUGAAUUAAGGGAGGGGUCAGUCCUAAGCAAAAUAAAUUCUAAAGAUGCACAAAAAUAUUUCUGAUGUCACAAAGAAUGGGAAUCUGAGGGGUUUUCCAUAAACUGGGGAAUGGCUCAUCAAGUAACAAUACAUAAAUAAGAUGUAACACUUUUAUGCUGAUGUCUCAUCAGCACAAUGACCAACCACAAUUCGUAAGGACUAAAGAGCCCUGAGAGUGAACAUGGUCAAGGAGACCAUCAUCUGAGCAACCUAAAGAAAAAGCUGAUCUAGGAUAUUUAAAAAAGGACCAAGUGUGAAGGAUACAGCAAUGGGGCCCUACUCACAGCAACUGAUGUCAUCUCCUUGUUCUGGACAGAAAUAGGGAUCUUAUUCAAGAAGUGCUGUGAACCCUGAUUGCCCACCAAACUCCCAGUAUUAAACUGCUUGCUUUUUGAAAAUACAAGUAUAAGAGGCUAAUCUAUGGAAAAAUUACUCAGUCAUUACCUUGUACUCUACUGGUAUAGCCUAGGAUUGUCUCCACACCAUAAUGAGAUGAAGAAAAAUUAAUUUUAGAGAGUGAAAGGACUAAUGAUUUGCCCAGAGUCACAACAAUGGUAAGUGGCAGAUCUAGGAUUGAAACCUAGUUCCUACAACUCCAAAUACUGUGCAGAGUUGUCAGGGCAAA